UGAGGAAUAUUGGGCAAUGGAGGGAACUCUGACCCAGCCAUGCCGCGUGAGUGAAGAAGGUUUUCGGAUUGUAAAGCUCUUUCGGGUGUGACGAUGAUGACGGUAACACCUAAAGAAGCCCCGGCUAACUUCGUGCCAGCAGCCGCGGUAAUACGAAGGGGGCAAGCGUUGUUCGGAAUUACUGGGCGUAAAGGGAGUGUAGGCGGUUUAGUAAGAUAGUGGUGAAAUGCCAGAGCUUAACUUUGGAAUUGCCAUUAUAACUAUUGAACUAGAAUUAUGGAGAGGAUAGCGGAAUACCCAGUGUAGAGGUGAAAUUCGUAGAUAUUGGGUAGAACACCAGUGGCGAAGGCGGCUAUCUGGCCAUAUAUUGACGCUGAGGCUCGAAAGCAUGGGGAUCAAACAGGAUUAGAUACCC
rnacentral:rRNA from 1 species